GCAUAGCUCAGUUGGUUAGAACGUGGUGCUGAUAAUGCCAAGGUUGCAGGUUUGAUUCCCGCAUGGGGCAGCU